AGAUGAGAUAUUCCACACAAUAAUGUGCUUAUGUGGAAUCACAUUUCCCUGCAAGGCCAGAGAAAAAUCACAGCUUCGCUGUCGGAGGGAAGGAGAACAGAUGACCUGGAAGAAUGUGACUAGAUCUGGAGCAAGAUCUUGUCUGGCAUGGCAAUCCCAACCGUGCCUGCGUUAAGGGACCAAGCUACCCCCAGAAGUCCAAGGGCAACUACAGCAGCAAAGCCGGAGGUAAUUCUCAUCUUUUUACAUACAGGAGGAGUAAUGCUGAGUCAAAAUCAUAUACAUGAAGUCACUCGGGCAGUUAGGUGUGCUUCAAUUUCAUUUUACCUUCUUCCACUCUUGUCUUUUGUAUGGUCAUUUGCUAUUAAGUAAGUAGGAGUAGGGGGAGGUUUCAUGUACCUGAAACACACUUGAAACCAAAAUGAUCAUUUGUGGAGGAAAGGAAAUCAUGUUUUCAGAACUGUUUUACAGGUACCUUUUCAGAUGGGCAGCCUUCCCCCCCCCCACCCACCCACCCAUAGAAACAAGAAUAAAGGGUACAGAGGCAGGUAGGACAGGAGAUGCAUUUCAUGAGCACGAUGAAAUGCUUUUCCUAUCUCAAAAUAAGUAACUAUGCUCAGAGAGUAAACUGGGAAGAUAGGUCAUUACUCAGUUCCUCUGGCCCUUGGCACUGAGACCACGAGAGAAGGUACCAGAAUGUACCAUGGUGGGAUUGCGGGGGCAGAGUUCGGCACUGGACAGAGUUGACAGAGUUCCCGUGGCCCUGUGGUUCCCGUGGCCAUAUUUUCCUGAGAUCCUAUUAGAUUUCAAAGUGUUAGUUAUAGCAACUACAUGUUAUUCCAAACUUCUAAAUUUGUAGUUAUUAAAAGAUCUGUGGGAAACAUUUGUAAGUAAAAGUAGUAACUAAAAUAGAAAAAAAAAUUGACAUUACACGUAAUCCAAAUACCACACCCUCACAUACUUGACAUGCUUUACCUAAUGACAAAUCCUUCCAAAUCUUCAGCAGAUAGUAUGUCUUCAACCAAUUUUUCCCCACUGUAAGAUUAACAACAACAAAACCUUUGUAGUACACUUUUAAGUAACAAAAUCAAUCAUUUUGCUUACCAAGGGAAAAGGGAAUCUUCACAAUAUUCAAAUCGUGUCAGUUUUAUGUGUUCCCAAAGGAACAAGUGGUGAAGGGAGACUCCCUUUUUUGUGUGAUUUAAUGUAACCAACAGUAACAGAAGAGACAUUUCUGUGUUUUUUUGUUUGCUGUAAUUGACUGAAUCCAAUGUGAGCUUUGACACCAAGAUGAAAAACAUAGCAGAAAAAGUCAUCUAUUGGCAACCCCACUACCCCCCCAUCCUCCCACCCCAGGCUUUUUUUUGAAUUGUCUAAUUUGUGACCAGCCAGGGAAGAAUAUUUUUCCUUCACGCAAUUUUUUUUAAUUAAACCUUUCUUUAUUUGACAGGUGCUGCUACCUAUGAGGACUACGUGAGAAGCUGCUACCUAUUAGGACUAAGUGAGAAGCAAAACUUCUAAGGAAGUGGGUUUCCUAAAUGUUGUUCCCUUUACUCCCAGAUAACAUGGAUACUCUAGUCUAAAAUAGUUUCCUAUUCCCUUAAUAAAAUUCCAUUAAAAU
rnacentral:lncRNA from 1 species